rnacentral:rRNA from 1 species
UGGGGAAUUUUGGACAAUGGGCGAAAGCCUGAUCCAGCCAUGCCGCGUGAGUGAAGAAGGCCUUCGGGUUGUAAAGCUCUUUUAGUCGGAAAGAAAGAGUUGCAAUGAAUAACUGUGAUUUAUGACGGUACCGACAGAAAAAGCACCGGCUAACUCCGUGCCAGCAGCCGCGGUAAUACGUAGGGUGCGAGCGUUAAUCGGAAUUACUGGGCGUAAAGGGUGCGCAGGCGGUCUUGCAAGUCAGAUGUGAAAGCCCCGGGCUUAACCUGGGAAUGGCGUUUGAAACUACAAGACUAGAGUGCAGCAGAGGGGAGUGGAAUUCCAUGUGUAGCAGUGAAAUGCGUAGAGAUGUGGAAGAACACCGAUGGCGAAGGCAGCUCCCUGGGUUGACACUGACGCUCACGCACGAAAGCGUGGGGAGCAAACA